UUCCGGUUGAUCCCGCCGGACCCCACUGCUAUCGGGAUAGGACUAAGACAUGCUAGUCGAGCGCCUCAGCCAAAAUGAGGCGCGGCAUACAGCUCAGUAACACGUGGCUAAUCUGCCCUUAGGAUAGGAAUAUCCCCGGGAAACUGGGGCUAAUUCCCAAUAGGCGAAGAACUCUGGAAUGAGUCUUCACCCGAAAAGAGCUUACGUUAUGCUCGUGAGUUUCGCCUAAGGAUGAGGCCGCGACCGAUCAGGUUGUUGGUGAGGUAAUGGCUCACCAAGCCUUUUACCGGUGCGGGCCGUGAGAGCGGGAGCCCGGAGAUGGGCACUGAGACAAGGGCCCAGGCCCUACGGGGCGCAGCAGUCGCGAAAACUUUGCAAUACACGAAAGUGUGACAGGGCUAUCCCGAGUGCCAUCCGCUGAGGAAGGCUUUUACCCAGUCUAGAACGCUGGGGGAAUAAGGAGAGGGCAAGUCUGGUGUCAGCCGCCGCGGUAA
rnacentral:rRNA from 1 species